rnacentral:rRNA from 1 species
GACGUAGGGGGCCAGCGUUGUUCGGAAUUACUGGGUGUAAAGGGUUCGUAGGCGGUGUAGCAAGUCGGGAGUGAAAUCUCUGGGCUUAACCCAGAGGCUGCUUCCGAAACUGCUGUGCUUGAGUGUGGGAGAGGCGCGUGGAAUUGCAGGUGUAGCGGUGAAAUGCGUAGAUAUCUGCAGGAACACCCGUGGCGAAAGCGGCGCGCUGGACCACUACUGACGCUGAGUAACGAAAGCUAGGGGAGCAAACAGG